GAUGGUAUAGCUCAAUGGUAGAGCACGUGUGUAACAUGCGCAAGGUCCUGGGUUCAAUCCCCAGGACCUCCC
rnacentral:tRNA from 1 species